rnacentral:rRNA from 1 species
GAUGAACGCUAGCGAUAGGCUUAACACAUGCAAGUCGAGGGGCAGCAUGGUCUUAGCUUGCUAAGACUGAUGGCGACCGGCGCACGGGUGCGUAACGCGUAUGCAACUUGCCUCACAGAGGGGGAUAACCCGUCGAAAGACGGACUAAUACCGCGUACACUCCAUCUUGGGCAUCCAAGGUAGAGGAAAUGAAAUUCGCUGUGAGAUAGGCAUGCGUCCCAUUAGCUAGUUGGUGAGGUAACGGCUCACCAAGGCGACGAUGGGUAGGGGAACUGAGAGGUGGAACCCCCACACUGGUACUGGGACACGGACCAGACUCCUACGGGAGGCAGCAGUGAGGAAUAUUGGUCAAUGGGCGAGAGCCUGAACCAGCCAAGUCGCGUGAAGGAUGACUGUCUUAUGGAUUGUAAACUUCUUUUAUACGGGAAUAACAAGAGUCACGUGUGACUCCCUGCAUGUACCGUAUGAAUAAGCAUCGGCUAACUCCGUG